UACGAAGGGGGCUAGCGUUGUUCGGAAUCACUGGGCGUAAAGGGCGCGUAGGCGGCUUUAUAAGUCGGGGGUGAAAGCCUGUGGCUCAACCACAGAAUUGCCUUCGAUACUGUAGAGCUUGAGACCGGAAGAGGUAAGUGGAACUGCGAGUGUAGAGGUGAAAUUCAUAGAUAUUCGCAAGAACACCAGUGGCGAAGGCGGCUUACUGGUCCGGUUCUGACGCUGAGGCGCGAAAGCGUGGGGAGCAAACAGG
rnacentral:rRNA from 1 species